UACGUAGGGGGCAAGCGUUGUCCGGAAUCAUUGGGCGUAAAGCGCGCGUAGGCGGCCCGGUAAGUCCGCUGUAAAAGUCCAGGGCUCAACCCUGGAAAGCCGGUGGAUACUGUCGGGCUAGAGUCCGGAAGAGGCGAGUGGAAUUCCUGGUGUAGCGGUGGAAUGCGCAGAUAUCAGGAGGAACACCGAUAGCGAAGGCAGCUCGCUGGGACGGUACUGACGCGUGAGGCGCGAA
rnacentral:rRNA from 1 species